UCCUGGCAAGCGGGUCCGCGGUGUCUCGGUGCGGGAGCGGGGGGGGGACCGGGAGCGAACGGGAACGGGGGUCGGGGCGGCUGCGGAGCGCUUGCUGCGGUCGGCCCCCGGGCAUCUGGAGGCAUGCGGCUCAGGGCCGCCCUUCGUGAGGUUCCCCGGAGGCGGCAGAAGGGCAGAGGGGAAGGAAGCGACAGCCGGGGACCUCCCGCCGCGGGGGUCUCCGGGGCGCGGCGGCUGUCGGUGCCCGCGGAGCCCGGCGGGACGGCGGGGGAGCGCGAGGGGAACGGAGCGGCGAAAGAGGCGGCAGUGGAUCCGUCUGGCAGUCGGUGGCCCACGGUUGCUCGGCAACAGCAGAAGCGGAUUGAAGGGACCGGCCGCUGGAGGAUGCCGAAGCCUCCCGGGUCAGCGAUGGGAGCAGCUUUGCGUAAAGCGAGGGGUACGUGAAGCCGGGCGUGCGGUGCCGACCGCCCAGCAGGUAAGGGAAGCUAAAGCUUUACCUCCAGGGACUUCUGCCCAGAAAGCUGAAGAAAUUGCUCUCGCGUGAGCUUUAGAGUAAUGCAAAGAGAAGAAGAUUAAUAGCUGCACUGGUUCUAAGCAGGUUUCUUGAACGGUGAAUGCCCUUGAAGCCAUUUGAAAAGAAUAAAGUAUAUUAACGGCACAAGGAAGGCAGAUUAAACGUGAUGCUCCAGUUGCUGGAAGCUGUGCUGUUGCUAGAAGAGUUGCUGUCAUGCGUUGCAAAGGGCCUCAGAAGUGAAAUGCUGAUCAGGAAACUGUAAAUAAAUUGGCAGGCGCCGCUGUAAAACCAGCCACCGAGAGGACAGAGACCGGUACGGAAGCCGCGUCUCUGAGCCCAGGUGGCCGUGUCCUCCAACCAACGUCAGGAAACUGUAACAAAGAGGAUAAGCAAUUAUUAGGAGGUUUAUAGCCGAAUCAGAAUUAGGGUCCAAAGGAGCCGUCACCGGCGACGGGAGAGUAGUGGCGCCUCGCGGCGCGAGGAGCUGAUGCACUCUGUCGAGAUCAGACGAACAGGUAAGAGCGACUUUAGAAACUGUGCGAACGAGGCAAUGUGAAACGUGCCUAGAACACCAUCUUAAUAGUGUAUACGGGGUACAGACAAGAGCAGCCGGACGAGGGAAACGUACCAGGGCAACACUGGCAAAGAGAGUUCUCCGAGCUGCCUGGAAAAGGGGGGUGUCGAUACCGGCCGGCACGAACGGCUCCCUUCUCGGGUCGGCCGGAAGCGUUGCCGUGCCGGGGGGCGGCUGCCGGCCUGCGGGCCGGGGGCUGCGGCUGUUUGGGGCGCUGCACCCGCUUUGUUUUCCUAGGGGAGCCCCCCCACUUUCGGGGGCUUGUGGGACGUGCACGUGCAAAUGACACGGUGUUCCCAGCUGCUCUGUUCUCUGCCUUGUUUUUUCAGAUGCCUGUCCCUGUUUUCUCUUCCCGCUUUUGAAGAGAAGCUGCCGAGUUAGCGUAUGCUGCGAUGAAGCUGUACAAGAUGUAGCCCUCAUGAACCGGUUGACGUGAGGGAAAUGCUUUCUGACCGCCUGCGCGGUGAGGGGACGUUUUUCACCUUUUAGCUCCUUCUGCACGACAAGAGGGAGACGGAAGGUUAAGUAACACGUUGUUUAGGAGCUGAGAGCUUAGUUUGUAUUUAACUAAUGAGUAAGAGAUGUGUUGUCAGCGAGAAACUAAACGAUUAUAACUAACCUCAUCAAAUGGAAGUCAAGAAUGCGGCUUAGCAGCGCUGCUGACUCUGCCGUCCCGUUCCCUUCCCCGUUUCAGCCGGCGAGGCGGCCGGAGGACCCGCUCUGUGCGGCCGCGGGACCCGCGGAGUCGAGGGCUCUGUCGGCGCGCCCCGGGGGUUUCUCUGGAGAGACUCCUCGUCUCGGUCGCGUCGCGGCGGGGACGGACGAGGACCUCUGGCGAGGGGUCUUUCUGCGCUGGGAGCCGGGACCGGGCACGCGCUCGCGAGGCGUCCGUAAGUCGCGGUACGGAAUUUAGGCAGGAUAGCGCGCACGGGCUUGCGAGCGCCUUAAAGGCGUACGGUAGUUGCUGUGGGGUUGCUUGUGCGGCCAGCUUUUGGUGUCGGUUGUUCCGGCGCUCCGUCGCGGUGUAGAGCGGGCUCUGUACGUAGCGGUGAGGCGUACCGCAGUUCGGUUUGACUCUCGGAUAGGCCUCGGCUCUGACUGUGCACUCGAACGCCAAAACCUACAGCAGAAGCUGCGGUGGCUUUAGCGUGCAAGGGGCGCGAGCGCCGUGAAGCCGCCCGUGUGGCCGAGCGUCCCGAUCGCGGCGCUGAGCGUUAGACAGACUUGAGCCGCGUGCCGGAAUUGUUUUGUUUUGGAGAGGGCGGGAUAAACUUGGAGCACAACUUGUGAGGGCGGUACGUCGUGGGUAGGUUUUAGUAUUGCCUGUGGAGUGCUGCUAGAAGCGUUCAUAGUUCUUGCUUGUCUCUGUUACAAGAUGAGCCGUGUCGUCCUGCGUGACGCGUAACGGGAGGACGGCGUAGUAGCGGUACUCUGCAAAAGAGCCCGUUAGGGGGUAUUUUAGCUCGCGGGAAAGAGAUUGGGGAACCACCUGGUGGUAAUGCGAGUAGAGCAGCCCUGGUGGAAUCUGAUGAGCAGGGGCCAUUGUAUAAAUUGGACAAGGAAGGAAAGGCUGCGGGCACAGCGCGGUGCUGCACCCGGCCGCCCCAAAGAGGUGCCGCGGCGUGCCUCAGUGCUGCCGCCCUGUGGCGAAACUCGGGUACUGCAGCGCACAGCCGGGGGGCAGAGACGCUGUUCGACCCGCGGGGGUUCGCGGUCAGGUCUCUGCGUGUCAGUGUCCGUCCCCCCGAUGGGGGUCAGGUCCCCAUUUGUGUGAAAACGACAUCCCUCCCUCGAUGGCUCCUUAGAAGGGUUAAUCCCAAUCCUCGUUCUUUUGGCAGCGGUGGAUCUGUGACCUCGCGGGGAAGCCCAGGCUGCUGCACAGAGCUCGUCGGGAGCGGGAGCUGCGGAGGCGGGGGGGCCUCGACGAGCCAGAGCUGCGGCAGACGGAGGGGGCGCGCGCGCUGCCCGGGGCCGCGUCAGGCGGAGCCGAAGUGACCUGCGGCGGCACCGAGCGGGAGCCGCUCGGAGCUGUAGCGGCCGUUGGCCGCGCCUUCCCUGGGGAGCGUCGCCUUCUCCGCGCCGUGAAGAAAAUCCCGCGCGGUUGAUUCCGCUCGCCGCUCAGGAGAUUCCGCGUCUGGGGCCGUGGACUGGCGAAGAACGUUUGCGAGUUGGAGGGCGCUACAAGAUAUUCCAAGGGGAAGCCGGAGAAGAGGCAAAUUGGCUGCCAGUGGAGUUACGUUCCGUGCAGUCUUCAGUUUAGGACGUUCAGCUUGUCCUUCCCGAAAAGGAGCAGUCAUUGGUAGGACCGAGAGAGGCUUUUAAGCGCGUGAUCGAAAUUGGAGCCAAAUGGCACUUGACGUUGCCGCUGUGGGUCUUGGCUUUCAGUGGUUUCCCCGCGGCUGCCUAGUGUUUGGGAGCUCGAAGUGGGCAUUUUUUUCCCCCAAGGAGAUGCUGUGCUUAAAAAAGAAUUUGCUUAAAAAAGACAACGAGGCAGGUGAGGAUGCAGAGCGGGCCAAUCAGAUCGCUCGGUAGGGCUGGAGGGGCGGAGCGCCGAUAGGCGGGGAGAAUGGCAAUUGAUGUGCAUAGUUAGCCAAUGUGGUUGCCGGAGGGGCGGGCGUUGCGGUCUCCGUACUGCGCAUGCCCAAAUUGCGGAGUCCUCAGUCAGGUCCGACGCUGAGGCGGGCACCUGGGGGCGGAGCGUGGGAAGGAGCAUCCAAUAGGAGGACGGCGCGGCGGGGUGGAAAGCAGCCAAUCAGAGCGCGCCGUCUCAAUCCCGUUUGAACAGCUGCCUCCCUGGCAAACGCGUCCGUGGGGUCCCGGGGCGGGUAGCGGGAGUUAACGGGGAAACGGGGGUCGGGGCGAGGGAGGGGAGGCUGUGGAGCGCUCAUGUUGGCCUCUCCGUCCCUUUUGCCUCUCUCUCCCUCUCUCUGUGUCACCUUAUCUUGCUCCCUGUCCCUGUCUUUCUCUGGUAAGCUGACCUGCUCUUUGCCCUUCUUUUUUUGUGGAAUCACAGGCUCCUCCCCUCCGACGGGGGUCAGGUCCCCAUUGGUGUGAAAACGACAUCCCUCCCUCGAUGCCUCCUUAGAACAUUUCAUGAGGUAAAUAUUGCUCCUACUAACGUUGUCGGCGCGGCUUCUUUCCUCAGUGGAUCCGUCUGGCAGUCGGUGGCCCACGGUUGCUCGGCAACAGCAGAAGCGGAUUGAAGGGACCGGCCGCUGGAGGAUGCCGAAGCCUCCCGGGUCAGCGAUGGGAGCAGCUUUGCGUAAAGCGAGGGGUACGUGAAGCCGGGCGUGCGGUGCCGACCGCCCAGCAGGUAAGGGAAGCUAAAGCUUUACCUCCAGGGACUUCUGCCCAGAAAGCUGAAGAAAUUGCUCUCGCGUGAGCUUUAGAGUAAUGCAAAGAGAAGAAGAUUAAUAGCUGCACUGGUUCUAAGCAGGUUUCUUUAAUGGUGCAGUGCUGCACCCAUCCGCCCCAAUGCAGAACUCUAAUGUGGAAUUCCUGUGUUUCAGAGGGGGAGCUGUGACCGCCCCGUGCUCAGCAGACCCCCCAGCCCGGGUGGGGGGAGCAGCGCCGGAGCGGGAGACGCGGCUCCGUCCUCCGUCCCCAGCGUGCCGGGGGGCGGCUGCCGGCCUGUGGGACGUGGCUGCGGCUGUUCGGGGCGCUGCCCCCUGGGGCUGUUUUCUACCUUUUGUUUUGGAGUGAUUAAAUGGGGGGACUCGGGGGGUGACGAUGAUGUUACUGAAGGAGCACGCCAGUGAGAGACGGGGGCUUGCAGCCCCAAAAUGCCUGAACAAUCAUGGGUGGGGUGUUUAGUGGUAAUGCGGGGAGGAGAAAUUUCUCCCUGUCCGUUGCAGAGAAAACAGAACAAUCUCACAUCAAAGCUGUCCUACAGAAAUACUUGCUGUUUGUCAUUCCGGUUCUAGAACAGCCCAGUGUCCUGUUAAAGGUUGUGGUGGUACGGGUCAGGGAUCCCCAGGCUGUGCCGAGACCACAGGACGGCUGCUGGUGGAACAAAGUCAAGGACAACUUCUCAGAACCGCAGCGCUGGUCCGAGUUCCCCAGCACACGUGUGUGUGUCCAGCCGGGUACGCCCGGGGGAGCGCGUCGGGGAGGGCAGACGGCUGAAUGGACGCGCUGUCAGCGACUGCGGAAUGAGCUGGGGCUGCUUUGACCGUGUCCAGCCUUGUGCGUGUGGUUUGUUUUCACUUGCAGGCUGAAACAGCAGUUUCCUUAAUUAAAAACACCCCAACACGUCCCCCAACCCCCAACAAAAAUAACGCCAAAAAUGCCACUGAAAGAAACACAGGGAGUUUUUAAAUAAUUUCCUUUAGAUUUCUCCCCCUGCCACCCCUACCCUGCUGCGUUCAGUGCAGUGAAUGACCGUGAGGAGAUGGCUGUGGAUCUGGCUGUUGAAGGGUGUGUGAAGGAGAAGGAGAUGUGUGUAGAGCAGGAUUGGUUGUGGAGGUGAGUGCAGCUGGUUUGGGUGUGGGGCUGUAAAUUCUUUUUGGAGGCUUCCUAGUUUCUGGUGUCACCUGUGGGGUGAAGUGUGACUCUGUGCAGGUUUGAAAGGUGCAACGUGCAGAGCUCCCUCAUUUGCCACCAGAUCUCCCAAUCACAGAGACAGCGUCGCUGUGCAGCUGCUAAGGACAGCACGUCUCGUGCAGAAUAGCAUCCUUUGUGCUCCGUGUGCGUGUUCCUCCUUUGAAAUGAAGUUGCGCUGCCCGGUGUUCCACGUUACGUGUGGUACCUGCUGGGCUGAGUCUCCUCCCCGCGCUCCGGUCGGUUCCAUCGCGCUUCUGCAGCCCCGCAGCACCGCGGCGUUCGCUGGACGCGUUGUUGGCGGAGCCGGCACCGACAAUCUUGACACGUCGAGGCGCUGCGGUGGGUUUUCCUGGAAAUUCCAAGGCAGACAGUAAUAAUCCCCAAUUUAUGUAGUAAAAUUUAAAAGAGUGGAAUAUUAAUGCUGGAGCACUAAUUGGAAGUAAUACCUGUAGAGAAAAAAACCUCUAGUUUAUAUCUAUAAUAAAAAAAUAAUGUGUGCUAGUUAAUCCGCCUGGUAGUAAUGUAAUGAUAAACAUGUUAAAGUGUAAAUAAAUGAAAUUAUUUAGGCGUGAGCAAUAACUAAAUUUAAUUUCAGCUAUUACUUGGUGAACUAGGCAGCAGUUAUUCCCAGUCUGAAUCCUAGUUUAGAAAACACAUUGUUUGGAAUUCCUUUUAACUGAUAAAGGCAGAAAACUAAUGUGGAGUCAUUGGUAGCUACAUUUGAACAACCCUUAUGAAAUAAACCGCGGACACGAAUGACUGCAUAGGAAACGAAGUGAGGAAGCUUUAGAUUUUAAACAGCAUUGGAAAGUGAUCGGGAGUGUUUAGUAUUUAAAUUAUAACAGAGCCAUGAGAUGGGAGGCAACAAAGCUCAGAACCAAACAGAGUCAAAACGUUACAUUUCUUUUUUUAAAGAGAAGUAUAAAGGAACCACUAAGCAGUGGCUGUUUAUAAACAGAGGUAUUAAAAAGUUCCCAGGCAGUAAUGAUUCCCAACAGAACACUAAAAGAUAUUUAGAUGUAAAAUAAUAUUAGAAAACAGUUAUGACAGUCUGAAUUUAACCACAGCUUUUUUGGGGUUGUGCAAAAACAUGACCGCUAUUAAUUACCUCUGAGUUAAAAUAAAAAGACAGCAAACUA